CCUACGGGUGGCAGCAGUGAGGGAUAUUGGUCAAUGGGGGAAACCCUGAACCAGCAACGCCGCGUGAGGGAAGACGGUUUUCGGAUUGUAAACCUCUGUCCUCUGUGAAGAUAAUGACGGUAGCAGAGGAGGAAGCUCCGGCUAACUACGUGCCAGCAGCCGCGGUAAUACGUAGGGAGCAAGCGUUGGGCGGAUUUACUGGGUGUAAAGGGUGCGUAGGCGGCCUUGCAAGUCAGAAGUGAAAUCCAUGGGCUUAACCCGUGAACUGCUUUUGAUACUGGAGGGCUUGAGUGAAGUAGAGGCAGGCGGAAUUCCAGGUGUAGCGGUGAAAUGCGUAGAGAUGUGGAGGAAUACCAGAGGCGAAGGCAGCCUGCUGGGCAUGUACUGACGCUGAAGUGCGAAAGCGUGGGUAGCAAACAGGAUUAGAUACCCCAGUAGUC
rnacentral:rRNA from 1 species